rnacentral:lncRNA from 1 species
AGUUUGAUGCAGGUAAUUGGAGUAACCCCGUCACUGAAUUCACUACUGACCUUCUGCCGGUCAAGAGAGGAGAUCCAGGACGCCCCGUCAUCCCGAUCUCCAUCGGCAUGGUAGAGGUUCCAGAAGCACUCUGCAACUUUGGCUCUAGCGUCAACAUUAUACCCAGGGUACUCUAUGAAAAAUUCUUUACAUAUCCUUUAUUAGAAACAACCAUGUGUUUGCAGUUUGCAGAUCAGACGAUAACUUUUCCAAAAGGAAUAUUGAAGAACCUUUGUGUCCGAGUUGGUACCUUAUAUGCUCUAGCAGACUUCGUAGUAGUAGAGACCGGAAAUGAUGAGAGGGCACCUAUCAUCCUUGGGAGGCCAUUCUUGAACACCACAGGAGCUAUCAUCUACGCUAGUGCUGCCAAGAUCAGUUACUACAUCAAAGGGAGGAAGGAAACAUUUUUCUUUAGGAACAAGACUACACAAAUCCCAAAUCAAUCCAGACGUGAAUCAAGGAAGAGGACCAACAGGAGGAGCAGGAACAAGCAAGUGUGGACCGAGUCAGCUAAGAUGGUCACUGCAAUUUAUGGAGGCCAAGAUCAUCAACUUAAGUCACCGUUUUUUACCAAGAAGGAUGACCCAGGAAUGCCAAGCAUCUACUGCUCCAUAAAUGGAUACAACUUCUACAAGGCAACUUGUGACACCGGAUCGGGCGUCAACAUAAUGGCCGCAGUCACCUAUCAGCUCUUGUUUGGGACCAUGCCCCUAAGACCAACAUACAUUCAGCUCCAGAUGGCAGAUCAGACAUUUCGAGAAGUUAAAAGAAUAGUAACUGAUGUCCCAGUCAAAAUAGACAAUCAUUUUGUCUACACAGACUUUCAAGUUAUUGACAUGGGAGAAGACGAAUACGAUCCACCCGUCAUCCUUGGAAGACCGUUCCUCAGCACCGUUAAAGCAAUUAUCUACAUUGGAACCGGAGAAGUCCAUAUGCACUUCGCCUCAGAGAAGGUACGCCGUUAUUUUACUGACCCUAACUAUGUCGUUGAAGAAUCUAAGCAGGUAAGAAAACAACGCAACCGCAACCAGAGGAGGCAGAUCAUCAAGGAUGGAUGGGCAGACUACGAAGGAGAAGUGAUAAGAUCAGAAGACGUAGAGUUUAAAUAGAAUUAUCCAGAGGAGACCGUAGCACCGAGUCAGGUAUGGAAAGAGAAGAUAACUAUACAUGAAGAGGAGGCGCUGCCGGAAGUACCGACUACGCCACCCAACGAAUCCCAGGACAAUUGAGAAAACAGAGAGUCCCGUUCGGAGGACUUAAAAACACCGAACGCCUUGCCAAGAGGUAAACUUGGUAGUUAUCCUUUCCCUUUCAAUUAUUACAACUAGUUUACUUAGUUAAUCAUGUUCGUGCUAUCCUAAAAAGAAAAUAAAAAUGUGAAAAACAGUAAGCCCCAUGUGAGUAGACGAGUGGCAUAAAACCCAUAAGUACAUUCACUGUGGUGGCAUAAAAAUAAAAUAAAUAUUUCUUUCUGCUCUAUAAAAAUGAAAAUAUAAAAACAGGGAGUAAUAAUUAUUAAGGAGUCUCAACAUGAUAAAGGCUAGAUAUUUAUGCUAACACUUAAUCAAGUUCCACAAGCAUUGUUGUCUAUUUGAGCUCCACAGAAUUUAAGAAUCAAGAAGACUAGCAGACGGAGGACAUUCUAAUCGCUGUCAGAAUGCUGCUGACUUUCAAAUACACCUCUGCCGCCUACUAGCUGCAUCAAGAGAAAUUACGUCAAAAUUCAGCUUGGGGGAGAGCACCCCCAUUUAUCCCGAUAAGUAUUUCUAUCUAUCUUUAUACUUAUAUUAUAUUAGAAUAUUAAAAUACAUAACUAUGGAAAACCAAAUAAAGAUUUUAUGCUUAUAUAUAUAUAUAUAUAUAUAUAUAUAUAUAUAUAUAUAUAUAUAUAUAUAUAUAUAUAUAUAUAUAUAUAUAUAUCUUUUGCUUAGUGUGUUUAAUAAAUAAAUAAAGUGGCUAUGCUAAUCUGUAUCUAAAUAAAACUCAAGCAUGGAUAUGAUGAAUAGUUGCUCUGCCUAAUUUGCACAUUUUUCUCUCUCAAGUUUAGACAUAACUGUUAUAAUUUAAGGCUUGCUCUAGAUCUAAACUUGUGGGAUGAAAACUUGAUCUGAAGUCUAAGUUGUUAACGGAUAUGAUAUAGGAAGGUUGAGCUGCUGUUUAUCUGUUCCUAGAGAUGCUAGAAUUCUGGAGAAUUUUAUCUUUGAAAAUCUUUAAAAUGUUGCAUGAUGAGUUCCUGUAUGAUGAGAGUUUAAAUUCCUACCACAGCCAGAUAUACAUGCUUGCUAGACUUUGAGCCACACAUUUACUAUUUACUGCUUAUGAGCAUUGAGUGUGGUCAAGCUGUGUAGAUCCUUAGGAGCUUGUCACGUGCUUAAAUCAAGAUUUCACUUGCACGUUCACUCAUAUAUGCUACUUCUACUCCGGAAGUACCAUCCACAUAUAUCCACUCAUUUCCAUCUCCAGAACCACCCAAAAAUAUUCUACUCCUAAUCCUGGAGAGAAUAGCCAAAAAUAUUUUUGUUUUUCCUUGUGAAAUAAAUGCUCAAGUUAUCUUGUUACUACCACUUGCUAUAUUAUUUCAAGAGAUGAGUGCUCUGAAAAAACGAGGAAAUAAAAAGGAGCAAGUGCUCGGAACCUCGAAAGAAAAGAAAAAAGUGAGACGAGAGAUAAAAAUGGACAAGUGUCCGACAGUAGAAUUAGGGGUACAAGAUACCCACCUGAGAGAAAAAAAAGAAAGAAGAGCAUCUCAUUCUCCUCAUAAAGUUUCAAAAAGCAAGAAAGGUAUGUAUCCCCUCAAAGAGCAAAAGUAGAAUUAGACUUUCACCAUUGUUAUCACCAUCAUCACCAUACGCCAUUCAUUCGCCACACAUGCACAUCUUGAUUUGGCUUAUUGAUUUGUUUCUUUGGAUCCAUGGUUUGACUAUACAAUAAAUGUCUUGUAAGUAUGUAUACUUUAUCUCCCACCUAUGAGCUCUAGAUAUAAAAGCCUUAUUAGAGUAGGGUGAGAGAUAAGAUAAUGUUACUAUGCCUUAUACCACAAAUACUACAUAUCUUGAGAGAAGGCAUAUACCAUCACUGCCUUGGUAAGGAUCCAGAAAUACCACAAAAGAGAGAUCUGAGAGAAUCAUACAAGGAAUCUCUGAGUUUUAUUUAAAAAUCUGCAAAAGCACCAGAGCUAUAGCUCAUCAAGAAUAAGAGACAUGGCACUUGACUAGACUGUUCUAUCUUUUAACUACUCAAGAAAGAAGUGACGGUUACAAGUCCCAUGAAGGUAAACUAAGUAAGUUUUAAGUCUUGACAGUUUACUCUAACUCAGAGAUGAGAUCUUAUUUAAAAAGCAUGAGUACCGUCAAUUUUUAAAGAUUUUGCAACAACUUAUGAUCCAUAGCUGAGUCUACCUUUGCUCAGGGACGAGCAAGAGGUAAGCUUGGGGGAGUUUGUUGACAGUCCUUAAGUAUCAAAUUUAAUUAUCAAAUAAACAAAGAAAAGGAUCCAAAUGAAAUCAACAUCUAGACUGAGGGUUUUAUCUGACAGAAUUCCACGAGUUUUGGUGUUUGUCUAUUUCUACAGGGGGUUAUCAGGAAAUACGGAAGAAAGGCCCACACAUCGGGAUUACAUAGAGAUAUUAACGUGCCGCGCAAUUAUCUUACAUCUAGAAGACUCCAGAAGCCACGAGACCGAAGCGGAGGCGAAACGGGGCCAGAGGCAGGGCGCCCGCCCUGUUCCCCUGGGCGCCCGCCCCCUCCCUGAGUCCAAUCAGGACUCUGCUUCGUGGGAGAUCUCCCCCGACCUAAAGGAUGAAUCUAAACCAUACAAUCUAUGUCGGUUUGAUCCAACGGCCCAAAUUCACUUGAAGGGACUAUAAAACCAGACCCCCUGGCCCCUGGAGGAGGGAGCCUCUCAACCCUAAUUCAUUGUUCUUCAAGGGAGAAGAAGCCUCUGAUCAAGAUUAGAGCCACCACAUCAAUUAGAUAUCUAGAUUAGCAUAGCUACGUAGGAUUAGAACUAGAAGGAGUCAAUCUUCGAUUGGUUUCCGGAUCUGUCAAGAGGAUUCUUGGUAAUUCUCUAAUUGUGCUUCUAAUUACUUUCUAAUUAACUUUGUUCUUCAAUAUUAUGAAUAUGACUUUGUUCUACUUCAAUAUAUUGCUUAUGACUUAGCUCUACUUGCUUAUAUUCAAGAUUAUAUUGUUCUUAGUUUAUCAUAGUUACGUACUUGGCUUAGUUAGAUUGGAUUUAUAUACAUGCUUAGGAUCGUAUAGCGUUUAUCCAUCGGAUCCAUGGGUAAAUGAUAGAUAUUGUGUAGGCGUGGUGCUUAUACCGUAUUUAUCUGCGAUUGUACCCAAUAUGCCAGAUCGUGGGGUGGUUCGUCAUAGUGACAGCUUCAUUGAUUCUUAUAUAGUCCCCCUCUCGUGUAUUGGGCUGGCAGAGCAACAUUAUUACAGGGGAGUGAUUGCUAUGUUUCUCAUAUUCCUUGCUAAUAUCACUAUGCAUGGGCGUAGUCUUGUCUCACAAUGAUUGCUAAGUAUGCUUGCACUAACUAUGAUAAUGCUAGACUAUAUAGUUGAGAAUAACUUAGGGAAUAUUCUUGUAGUUCGUUCUAAUUCCAUGCUAAUGACUUUCUAGAGUAUCUAAUUGAGGUGCUUAUCAUAUUUAUUAUGUGGCUAGAUCAGAUUAGUUAUCCUUGUCACUAUUCGUUAUUUCAUAUAUCUUUUAUGUGACACUUAUCCUUGUAUGAAGAGUUAGAUAAAUGUUCUCAAUUAUACAUGCAAUGAUAGAUGCUCAAUCUCAUAUUCUAUUCUGUAAUCACUAUUGAUGAUUGCUAAUCCCUUCCCAGUGGUAAAAAUAUAAAUAACGAUACCUGGAAUACUUCCCGGUUAAAAUGCUACAUCGGUAUUAAUCUGUGCGCUUGAAGAUCCCAUUCAUUAUUUAUUUAGAAGAGCAAUUGCUUAUUUCAAUACCGCGCCUCUCAUGUCAUGCUGGGGAUGACAACUUGGCUUAAGUGGUGUGAGGGAUAGGUUUGGCAUUUUUGGCACCGUUACUAGAUUUAGAGAACUUAGUCUACUUUUGGUAAUGAUGUUAAGAAUACCCAACAUAGAGCUGGAGAUAAGAAGGAAGUUUUGCACAUCUACGACUCUCACAUGACUUGUGAGGAGUGUGGAGAUACUGGACACUCAGGCAAUCACUGCCCUGAGAUACUUGAGGAUGUAAACUACAUCAGCAAUAACAAUAACAACUACUACAACCGUCCUCAACAAAAUCAAGGUUGGAAUCAACAGAGGCCUAACUACUCAGGUAAUUAUCAAGGUAACAGUUCUUACAACAAUAAUAAUAAUUUUCCACCUCUGAGAGAGUUAGUGUCUAAUCAAGGAAAGCUAAUGGACAACCUAUCUAAGAAAUUGGCAUCAAAUGAUAAAAUGCUAGAAAAUAUAAAUAAUAGAAUGGAUAAUUUCUCUACUGCCAUCAAGAAUCAAAUUAGCUUUAAUAAAAUGAUUGAAUCUCAGUUAAAUCAAAUAGCUGCUGCUGUUCCUACUACUAACCCCGGUAUACCAUCACAACCGGAAGGAUUAGAAUCUGCAAAUCUUGUAGACAUGUUUGAUGCAGGUAAUAACUGGAGUAACCCCAUCACUGAAUUCACUACUGACCUUCUAUCGGUCAAGAGAGGCGAUCCACGACGCCCCGUCAUCCCGAUCUCCAUCGGCAUGGUGGACGUCCCAGAAGCACUCUGCGACUUUGGCUCCAGUGUCAACAUUAUACCCAGGGUACUCUAUGAGAAAUUCUUUACAUAUCCUUUAUUAGAAACAACCAUGUGUUUGCAGUUUGCAGAUCAGACGAUAACUUUUCCAAAAGGAAUAUUGAAGAACCUUUGUGUCCGAGUUGGUACCUUGUAUGCACCAGCAGACUUCGUAGUAGUAGAGACCGGAAAUGAUGAGAGGGCACCUAUCAUCCUAGGGAGGCCAUUCUUGAACACCACGGGAGCUAUCAUCUACGCCAGAGCUGCCAAGAUCAGUUUCUACGUCAAAGGGAAGAAGGAGACGUUUUUCUUCAAGAACAAGACUACACAAAUUCCAGAUCAAUCCAGACGUGAAUCAAGGAAGAGGACCAACAGGAGGAACAGGAACAAGCAAGUGUGGACCCAGUCAGCUAAGAUGGUCACUGUAGUUCAUGGAGGUCAAGAUCAUCAACUUAAGUCACCAUUUUUGACCAAGAAGGACGACCCAGGAAUGCCAAGCAUCUACUGCUCCAUAAAUGGAUACAACUUCUACAAGACGUUUUGCGACACCGGAUCUGGCGUCAACAUAAUGGCCGCAGUCACCUAUCAGCUCUUGUUCGGAACCAUGCCACUAAGACCAAUAUACAUUCAGCUCCAGAUGGCAGAUCAGACAUUUCGAUAAGUUAAAGGAACAGUAACUGAUGUCCCAGUCAAAAUAGACGAUCAUUUUGUCUACACAAACUUUUAGGUUAUUGACAUGGGAGAAGAUGAAUACGAUCCACCCAUCAUCCUUGGAAGACCAUUCCUCAGCACCGUUAAAGCAAUCAUCUACAUUGGAACCGGAGAAGUCCAUAUGCACUUCCCCUUAGAGAAGGUACGCCGUUAUUUUACUGACCCUAACUACAUCGUUGAAGAAUCUAAGCAGGUAAGAAAACGAUGCAACCGCAACCAGAGGAGGCAAAUCAUCAAGGACGGAUGGGCAGACUAUGAAGGAGAAGUUGUAAGGUCAGAAGACGUAGAGUUUAAAUAGAAUUAUCCAGAGGAGACCGAAGCACCGAUUCUGGUAUGGAAAGAGAAGAUAACUAUACAUGAAGAAGAGGUGCUGCCGGAAGUACCGACUCCGCCACCCAACGAAUCCCAGGACAAUUGAGAAAAUGGAGAGUCCCGUUUGGAGGACUUAAAAACACCGAACGUCUUGCCAAGAGGUAAACUUGGUAGUUGUCCUUUCCCUUUCAAUUAUAUUACAUAGUUAAUCAUAUUCAUACUAUCUUAAAAAUAAAAUAAAAAUGUGAAAAACAGUAAGCCCCAUGUGAGUAUACGAGUGGCAUGAAAUCCAUAAGUACAUUCACUGUGGUGGCAUAAAAAUAAAAUAAAUAUUUCUUUUCUGCUUUAUAAAAUAACAAUAUAAAAACAGGGAGUAACAAUUAUUAAGGAGUCUCAACAUGAUAAAGGCUAGAUAUUUAUGCUAACACUUAAUCAGUUCCACAAGCUUUGUUGUCUAUUUGAGCUCCACAAAAUUUAAGAAUCAAGAAGACUAGCAGACGGAGGACAUUCUAAUCGCUGUCAGAAUGCUGCUGACUUUCAAAUAUACCUCUACCACCUGCUAGCUACAUCAAGAGAAAUUACGUCAAAAUUCAGCUUGGGGGAGAGCACCCCCAUUAAUCCCGAUAAGUAUUUCUAUCUAUCUAUCUUUAUACUUAUACUAUUUUAGAAUAUAAAUAUACAUAAACCAGGAAAAACCAAAUAAAGAUUUUAUGCUUAUAUCUUUUGCCUAGUGUGUUUAAUAAAUAAAUAAAGUGGCUAUGCUAAUCUGUAUCUUAAUAAUAAAACUCUAGCAUGGAUAUGAUGAAUAGUUGCUCUACCUAAUUUGCACAUUUUAAGUUCUCUCUCAAGUUUAGACAUAACUGUUAUAAUUUAAAGCUUGCUCUAGACCUAAACUUGUGGGAUGAAAACUUGAUCUAAAAUCUAAGUGGUUAACGGAUAUGAUUUGGGAAGGUUGAGCUGCUGUUUAUCUGUUCCUAGAGAUGGUAGAAUUCUGGAGAAUUUUAUCUUUGAAAAUCUUUAAAAUGUUGCAUGAUGAGUUCCUGCAUGAUGAGAGUUUAAAUUCCUACCACAGCCAUAUAUACAUGCUUGCUAGACUUUGAGCCACACAUUUACUAUUUACUGCUUAUGAGCAUUGAUUGUGGUCAAGCUGUGUAGACCCUUAGGAACUUGUCAUGUGGUUAAAUCAAGAUUUCACUUACACGUUCACUCAUAUAUGCUACUUCUACUCCGGAAGUACCAUCCACAUAUAUCCACCCAUUUUCAUCUCCAGAACCACCUAAAAAUAUUCUACUCCUAAUCCGGGAGAGAAUAGCCAAAAAUAUUUCUGUUUUUCCCUGUGAAAUAAAUGCUCAAGUUAUCUUGUUACUACCACUUGCUAUAUUAUCUCAAGAGAUGAGUGCUCUAAAAAAAAGAGAAAAAGAGAUACGAGGAAAUAAAAAGGGGCAAGUGCCCGGAACCUCGAAAGAAAAGGAAAAGUAAGACGAGAGGUAAAAAUGGACAAGUGUCCGACAGUAGAAUUAGGGGUACAAAAUACCCACCUGAGAUAAAAGAAAAAUAAGAGCAUCUCAUUCUCUUCAAAAGUUUCAGAAAGCAAGGAAGGUAUGUAUCCCCUCAAAAGAGCAAAAGUAGAAUUAGACUUUCACCAUUGUUAUCACCAUCAUCACCAUACACCAUU